rnacentral:lncRNA from 1 species
CAAUACUCCACAAUGGAGCAGGCAGCACCAGCCGGAACUCACCCCUGCUGCCAUUCCUCCUCCAACCAGCAAGCCUCUAGCGACAUCUCUGAACAUGGUCUCUCCCUGCUCACACUCAGCUAUGCAGAGCGGGAAAAGCGUUUCCUGUCCAAAACAAGCACUGGGGAUUCUGAGGAACCUCUGAGGAGCACCCUGCCUUUACUUGCAGUUCUUCCAGAGAGAUGUUGGAGCUGACAACUGGAGACAAUAUGGCUUGGUGACAACAUCAUAAAAGGAAUCUAAAGAAGUUGGAAUGGAAAGCAAAAGAACAUUGCCAUAUUUUUACCAGGUGGCCCCACCACACGCUACACAGACCAAGAGAGUGAACAUGUCCUUGUUCUUAAAGAGCUCACAAAUGAAUAUCUUUUUUUUUCCCUGAGACUGAGUCUUGCUCUGUCACCCAGGCUAGAGUGCAGUGGCGCGAUCUUGGCUCACUGCAAUCUCCACCUCCCGGGUUCAAGCAGUUCUCCUGCCUUGGCCUCCUAAGUAGCUGGGAUGACAGGCGCGAGCCACCAUGCCUGGCUAUUUUUUUUUUUUUGUAUUUUUAGUAGAGACGGGAUUUCACCAUCUUGGCCUGGCUGGUCUUGAACUCCUGACCUCGUGAUCUCCCCACCGCAACCUCCCAAGGUGCUGGGAUUAUAGGCGUGAGCCGCCGUGCCUGGCCUGAAUAUUCUUAAAAAAGGAGUGAAACAGAAAUAGUGUGUUCCUGUAUUUCAGAAUGACAAAGGAAACCAGGAACACUUGCAGGUUAAUAAGUCCAUCCCCCUGUCUCAGAGCAGAG